AUAAAAGUUGCUUAAUUUCAACACAUAAAAUUAAAGUCGAAUGAAAACAAAAAAUUAACUUGCAUAAAUGUAAAACAGCGAUUAAUACAUUUUAUUACAUUUUAGCUCUUUAAUGGAAAUAAUGUGACCCCAGAAAAGCUGCAGCACAAAGAGUCACAAUUUCAUGGCUAUUUCUUAAAAUUUAUUGGAAAAUUAUGAAAACUCGUGUUUCCAGUAAGGAAACUAAAAUUAAAGAGGGAAUUUAAACCACAUACACUCAGAAGCUUUUCAAAAUAAAAUAUUUAGAUGCAGCAAGAUUGUAACGCCAGCUUCACAUAUGCAAUUUAAAUUAUUUUGGCACCUUUUUUCUUCCAUACCCUGUGAUAACGCGGUAUUGGGCUGAUAGCUAAUAUUCUUACUGAGCAGACGUGUCACAGGUAAUGAUUAAAGUCCGUGUUGGAGCCUGUGGGGUCCCAGUCGGAAAUGAAGGACUGUCUGGAUGUAAAAACAGCUCACCUGUAUUCACCUGGACUCCAGGAUGAAACAUAAAAUGGACCUGGAAACAAAAAAGGAGUUUUUAAAUGACCUGAUGGAAUAAAAUCAAAACAAAAAGGAAAAAAACAAAAACUAUCCCAGGAGAUGUUUUCACUGUGAACGUCUAAUGGAUUAUUAUCUGAGUGAAGGAUGUUUAGAUGGAUUCAUUGACAGAUGGACGAUGAGACUCCAAACAGAGGGGAAGAACAAUGAGCCUCGUCCAGCCAACAGAGUCCGACAACUGCUGCCAUCACCGCUCUUCUCCUUCCUCUGAUGAACGUGAAAUAAAACAAAUUGUGGAUGAGACGCCCUCCCAUCACAGGAGGACGACCUGAUUUUUUUUUUUUUGCACAGAGCAAAGCAAAUGACUCUGAGGUACAAGGCAAAUGUUACUUGAAUCCUGCUUCAUAUAUUUGCAUCGUGUCUGCUGGCUGAUGGAGGCCUCCAUAUAAUCACGAGUAGAUGCUCUGUGGGGGAACGCUCCUCCUGCUGUAGAGAAAAAGACCAUGUACGUCCUGUCUGUGCGUUGCAUAUCAUAUUCAAACCAAAACAUAUUAUUGCAUGCUUGGAAAGUAGAGCAUGUGAAGAGAAGAGAACACGUCCGACUGAACCCAGCACUCUGACAAACGGGAACAACAACAUCAGCCGCUCAUUGAUAUUCUGAAAUGAUUCUGUUCCAAUGAUGAACUUAGUUGCUAAAUCUCUAUUUUUUAAAGUAUCAUACUGUAUAUGUUUUAUAUGGAGAGGAUUUGGUUCACUUGGUGAAUUAUUUUGUAGAUUUUUAACAUUUUUGCUAAUGUGUUUGGAUUUUCUUUUGUUCGUUUUUUGCCUUGGUACAAACAAAGCAGCUCUAGCUCCGGCGGGCAACUCCGGUGAAGACGUCUGCCCCCUUUGAGAGGAAUGUUUGUGCAGGAAACGAGGGUUCCAAAAAGAGACCGCUUAAUGCAUUUAUCACUGAAUGUUUCUGUGUGUGGGUUCCUGAUCAGAAUGCUGUAUAUCUGUUAUACCGAGAACAUCUACCUCAGUGUCUGCUCAUUACCAACAGAAGCUUUAACACCCGUGUCCCUGCAUUAGCUCUCAUUAGGCAUCUAAUUACUUGGUGCAACUAAACCCAAACACUCUCCAAACUGCCAUUUAAAAUCUUGGAGGGAAAAAAAGCAACACAUUAAAUAUUGUGAAAUAUUGAAUAUCUGUAUGAAGCCGAUCCUGACCUUGGAUUUAAAUAUCAGAAUUAUGCAGUCUGCGUAAAACAGCUUAGAGCCUUGUUUUUGCACAUUUUGUUAAUUUAUUUGUGAAGUUGGAUGUGCUCGUGAGCGUAUGUGACUGUUUCUGGAUUCAUUGUGUAUUUAAAGGGCAAUAAAUGAACUGCAGGGUGGAACCAGUCUGGAACCAGAAAGGAGUCCAGUCCAGCAGGUUUUAUGGGUACAGACCUGAGGCUGCAGGGUUUAAACUGGACUCUAGUUUUCCUCAGAAUCAGAUGCGAACAUCAGCGUCUCAGUUUCGGGUAAAAACAGCAGAGAAAUGAAUCUCAGUUUCCAUCUGAAGCUGUUUUUAGUGGCUGUUGAGCUCAUGUGCUUCAGGGCUGCUGAUGUCUUCUUUGCUUAAUCAAAGGAAUUCCAAAGAAGCCGCUCAGCUGAAGGAACGGGCCAUGUUCAGAUGUCGUCUCUGAGCCACUGAGUGAGCCAGACUGUGACUUUCUUAACUGCCUAUAUGCGAAUUUAUGCAUAUUGUUCCACGACGAUGAUCUAUUCUGCUCAUUUCCAGCUCUUUGUUUUUAUCAUAUGACUCCCCUGCAGCAGCUUUACAUGAUCCACAGUUCAGAAUAAUCCUUCUGUGUCUCACACUGGGCCCCACGGUUCAUCCUAUCUGGAACAAGCUGAUUUAGCCCAUCUCUUUAAGGCUUCCUCCCUAAUUGCUCACUUCUGAUUGGCCAAACUGAGGGGCAGCACAUGUGCUCUUUGAAGUUUUUUGGUGUUUUUUUUGCACAAAUCAUUAAAUUUAUUCAUGUUUAUGGUGGUCCAGAUGUCCAUGUUCUGUCUUGUAUCUGUGAAUAGGUUCUCUUUAAAUCAUUUUGAUUGGACGGUUUGCACCGCCAUCUCUUUCCGGUGUUACAGCUGCUUCAUCAUAUGAAGCAAAAGUCCUCCACUCAGUGCUCAUCACUGGAGAAGGAGCAGCUGUAAAAACUGAAGUUUUUGAAGUGUGUGUCUACUCUGUGGGGUUGUCAGGUACCAGCUCUGACUCCACAGGUGUGUCACAGCUGAUCAUUCAAAGCUCAGCUUUCUGACUUUGGCUCAUUUCUCUCUGUUUUUCUGGCUCUGCGGAAGAUGUGAGGUCACAGUGUUUCCUGACAUGCUGGACUUUUGCUGGUCAUGCGGCUGCGUCCACUCUGCAGUUUUGUCUCAUUGUAAUUCUGCUUUGCUUAACAUAAAAACAGCCGAGGGAGGUUUGUGUGUGACGGAGGCACUGAUGAGCAGUGACUGGGCAUUAGUUCUGAUGAUUAAUGUGUUCUGCAUACUCUAUGUGCAAUAAUAACAGGGCGAAUGCAGCCAUGACUGAAGAGCAGUCAGUCUGGUCCAGGCGCCACAUGUUUAACCAUCAUUGAGAUUCACCACAUCAUCCGUUGUGUUCAUGCUUCAUCUUCAGGUUUCAGUUCAGGCUCGUCACCGAAGCUUUUGUCAUGCAACAAGGAAAAAAAGCAAUAGUGAUUUCUGUGUUCUGGGAACUUCAGCGUGGAAGUGUUCUGAUUUCUGUUUCUCUGCUUUUGUUUCUUUCCACGCAUCGAUGCCAUUACUUUUUUUUGACAAACUUUAAUUGUGAUCUAUUUUUGAUAAAAAUAAAUCUUUAAUUCUGAUUGAUCUCCAUGCGUUUCCCAUGAAUGCACAUGCAGAUGUGUCACUUUCUGCUGAGUGUGAGUGUGUUUGUGUGCCAUCAACAUCAGCAGAGGCGCUGGGGUUGGAUUUAAGGUUUUUUUAGGUCAUUGUUUGAUUUGCCUUCCUCAUGCUGUGGCUCCUCAUGGUCUCCUGAAGCAGCUGAUGAUGGAAGCAUCAGUGAAAGGAAAUAAAAAUUCUAGAAGGAAACAUAUUUGUAAAAACUGAAAACCUGAUAGAGUCUCUUCUCAUUCUUAUCUUCUACAGAAGUUCAGAGAAAAC
ensembl:lncRNA